UACGAAGGGGGCUAGCGUUGCUCGGAAUUACUGGGCGUAAAGCGCACGUAGGCGGCCCGCUAAGUCGAACGUGAAAUCCCCGAGCUCAACUCGGGAACUGCGUCCGAUACUGGCGGGCUUGAAUCCGGGAGAGGGAUGCGGAAUUCCAGGUGUAGCGGUGAAAUGCGUAGAUAUCUGGAGGAACACCGGUGGCGAAGGCGGCAUCCUGGACCGGCAUUGACGCUGAGGCGCGAAAGCUAGGGGAGCAAACGGG
rnacentral:rRNA from 1 species